AGACCCGAAACCCGGUGAUCUAGCCAUGGGCAGGUUGAAGGUUGGGUAACACUAACUGGAGGACCGAACCGACUAAUGUUGAAAAAUUAGCGGAUGACCUGUGGCUGGGGGUGAAAGGCCAAUCAAACCGGGAGAUAGCUGGUUCUCCCCGAAAGCUAUUUAGGUAGCGCCUCGUGAAUUCAUCUCCGGGGGUAGAGCACUGUUUCGGCUAGGGGGCCAUCCCGGCUUACCAACCCGAUGCAAACUGCGAAUACCGGAGAAUGUUAUCACGGGAGACACACGGCGGGUGCUAACGUCCGUCGUGAAGAGGGAAACAACCCAGACCGCCAGCUAAGGUCCCAAAGUCAUGGUUAAGUGGGAAACGAUGUGGGAAGGCCCAGACAGCCAGGAUGUUGGCUUAGAAGCAGCCAUCAUUUAAAGAAAGCGUAAUAGCUCACUGGUCGAGUCGGCCUGCGCGGAAGAUGUAACGGGGCUAAACCAUGCACCGAAGCUGCGGCAGCGACACUAUG
rnacentral:rRNA from 1 species